rnacentral:rRNA from 1 species
GACGAACGCUGGCGGCGUGCCUAAUACAUGCAAGUAGAACGCAGUUGCGCACGGGUGAGUAACGCGUAGGUAACUGCCUCAUAGCGGGGGAUAACUAUUGGAAACGAUAGCUAAUACCGCAUACUAUGCGAUGGACCUGCGUUGUAUUAGCUAGUUGGUGAAGUCAAGGCUCACCAAGGCGAAGAUAAAUAGCCGACCUGAGAGGGAGAUCUGCCAAACUGGGACCGAGACACCGGCCAGAAUGCUACGAGAGUCGGCCGAAGGGGCAUUUAGGCAAUUGACGGAAAGUCUGCCAAGCAACCCCGGGGUAGUUAAAAAGGUUUUUGGAACCUAAAGCUCUGUUGUUAUGGGAUCGGUAACUAACCAGAAAGGGACGGCUAACUACGUGCCAGCAGCCGCGGUAAUUC